GACGAACGCUGGCGGCGUGCUUAACACAUGCCAGUCGAACGGAAAGGCCCUGCUUUUGUGGGGUGCUCGAGUGGCGAACGGGUGAGUAACACGUGAGUAACCUGCCCUUGACUUUGGGAUAACUUCAGGAAACUGGGGCUAAUACCGGAUAGGAGCUCCUGCUGCAUGGUGGGGGUUGGAAAGUUUCGGCGGUUGGGGAUGGACUCGCGGCUUAUCAGCUUGUUGGUGGGGUAGUGGCUUACCAAGGCUUUGACGGGUAGCCGGCCUGAGAGGGUGACCGGCCACAUUGGGACUGAGAGACGGCCCAGACUCCUACGGGAGGCAGCAGUGGGGAAUAUUGCACAAUGGGCGGAAGCCUGAUGCAGCAACGCCGCGUGCGGGAUGACGGCCUUCGGGUGGUAAACCGCUUUCGCCUGUGACGAAGCGUGAGUGACGGUAAUGGGUAAAGAAGCACCGGCUAAUUACGU
rnacentral:rRNA from 1 species